rnacentral:rRNA from 1 species
GAUGAACGCUGGCGGCGUGCCUAAUACAUGCAAGUCGAGCGAACAGACGAGGAGCUUGCUCCUCUGACGUUAGCGGCGGACGGGUGAGUAACACGUGGAUAACCUACCUAUAAGACUGGGAUAACUUCGGGAAACCGGAGCUAAUACCGGAUAACAUGUUGAACCGCAUGGUUUAACAGUGAAAGACGGUCUUGCUGUCACUUAUAGAUGGAUCCGCGCCGCAUUAGCUAGUUGGUAAGGUAACGGCUUACCAAGGCAACGAUGCGUAGCCGACCUGAGAGGGUGAUCGGCCACACUGGAACUGGACCACGGUCCAGACUCCUACGGGAGGCAGCAGUAGGGAAUCUUCCGCAAUGGGCGAAAGCCUGACGGAGCAACGCCGCGUGAGGGAAGAAGGUCUUCGGAUCGUAAAACUCUGUUAUUAGGGAAGAACAAAUGUGUAAGUAACUAUGCACGUCUUGACGGUACCUAAUCAGAAAGCCACGGCUAACUACGUG